rnacentral:tRNA from 1 species
GGCUCCAUGGCGAAGAUGGUUAUCGCGCCGGCCUGUCACGCCGGAGGUCGCGGGUUCAAUCCCCGCUGGGGUCGCCA